rnacentral:snRNA from 1 species
GACCGGGCCUAAGUUCCC